rnacentral:rRNA from 1 species
CACGAACCUGCGAACGUUAUUCGGAAUCACUGGGCUUAAAGAUGCGUAGGCGGCCUAGCAGGUGGGGUGUGAAAUCCCUCAGCUCAACUGAGGAACUGCGCUCCAAACCGCUAGGCUUGAGGGAGACAGAGGUGAGCGGAACUGAUGGUGGAGCGGUGAAAUGCGUUGAUAUCAUCAGGAACACCGGUGGCGAAGCGCUCACUGGGUCUCUUCUGACGCUGAGCACGAAAGCUAGGGAGCGAACGGGAUAGAUACCCCUGUAGUCC